rnacentral:rRNA from 1 species
CAAUAGCGUAUAUUUAAGUUGUUGCAGUUAAAAAGCUCGUAGUUGGAUUUCGGGUGGGACGCAGCGGUCUCGCAUUGCGUUUGUACUGCUGCAGCCCUCCUUCUUGCCGGGGGCGACCUCUCGGACUUCACUGUCUGGGGGUCAGAAUCGGCGAUGUUACUUUGAGUAAAUUAGAGUGUUCAAAGCAAGCUUACGCUCUGAAUAUAAUAGCAUGGGAUAACACGACAGGACUCUGGCCUAUCGUGUUGGUCUAUAGGACCAGAGUAAUGAUUAAGAGGGACAGUCGGGGGCAUUCGUAUUCCGUUGUCAGAGGUGAAAUUCUUGGAUUUACGGAAGACGAACAUCUGCGAAAGCAUUUGCCAAGGAUGUUUUCAUUGA